GACGAACGCUGGCGGCGUGCCUAAUCCAUGCAAGUAGAACGCACGGUUUAUACCGUAGCUUGCUACACCAUAGACUGUGAGUUGCGAACGGGUGAGUAACGCGUAGGUAACCUGCCUGGUAGCGGGGGAUAACUAUUGGAAACGAUAGCUAAUACCGCAUAAUAUUAAUUAUUGCAUGAUAAUUAAUUGAAAGGUGCAAUUGCACCACUACCAGAUGGACCUGCGUUGUAUUAGCUAGUAGGUGAGGUAACGGCUCACCUAGGCGACGAUACAUAGCCGACCUGAGAGGGUGAUCGGCCACACUGGGACUGAGACACGGCCCAGACUCCUACGGGAGGCAGCAGUAGGGAAUCUUCGGCAAUGGACGAAAGUCUGACCGAGCAACGCCGCGUGAGUGAAGAAGGUUUUCGGAUCGUAAAGCUCUGUUGUAAGAGAAGAACGGGUGUGAGAGUGGAAAGUUCACACUGUGACGGUAUCUUACCAGAAAGGGACGGCUAACUACGUG
rnacentral:rRNA from 1 species